rnacentral:rRNA from 1 species
GACGAACGCUGGCGGCAUGCCUAACACAUGCAAGUCGAACGAUAACGUCAGGUCUUUGGGCUCCCGGGUGCGUAACCGGUGGGGUCCUUCCCUUGUGGUCGAACUAACUCCCCGCAGGGGAUGCUAAUACCAAACAAUGUCUUCGGACCCAUGAUUUAUCGCCUUUGGUUGGGCCUGCGUUAGAUUAGCUAGUUGGUAGCGUAAAGGCCUACCAAGGCGAAGAUCCAUAGCUGGUCUGAGAGGAUGAUCAGCCACACUGGGACUGAGACACGGCCCAGACUCCUACGGGAGGCAGCAGUGGGGAACAUUGGACACUGGGUGAGAGCCUGAUCUAGCAAGGCCGCGUGAGUGAGGAAGGCCUUAGGGUUGUAAAGCUCUGUUACCCGGGAUGAUAAUGACGGUACCGGGAGAAUAAGCUCCGGCUAACUCCGUG